UUGUGGUGCCUGCGAAAACCCGUCAAGAAAACUGGUCUUUUCAUACAGAAAACCGCUCACCUGGACAUAGUUGCUCUCGCAAUACUCGGCGACUCUUUCCAAAUUCGUGAAACUAUCCAGCAGAGCGCUUCGACCUGCUGGAAUCUCCUCUUCCAAAAGCAUUUGUAGCUCCGCCAUUUUCACAUCUUUAGCGGGGCAGCGUGGGUUCUCUGGCGCCGCCACGGUUGCGUGCGGUACUGCAGCAAUCGCCAUCGCCAGCUGACUGCUAGAGUUGGGAGGUGGAAUGCCAGAAGUACAGUACAAUGUGGCACGCGUAUAGUGCACUAAAUAAUAUGACAAAGCCUCGCCAGCCAAGAGAGGUCUCUCCAGCGUGUCCGAGGUCAUCCCCGGGGCCUCCUCCCGGACCGAUACAGAGUCCACAUCACUGCAGACGCCGCACCGAUCCGCAUGUCGAUCUCCCAUUCCGUUCUUCCCUCACUCGUGAACAAGACCCCCAGAUACUUGAACUCUUCCGCUAGGGGCAGGAUCUCGUCCUCGACCCGGAGAGGGCCGACUGAGGACCAUGACUUCAGAUUUGGAGUGGCGCGGUGAAGAAAGUGAGGAGGCGCACAGCUGGGAUCGACUGGUAAUGAGUUCCCAGUCUGAAGCGCUGUAGGGACCCCAGGAAGGUGCCCAAUCGUCCAUCCAUCCAUCCAUUUUCUGUAUCGCUUACCCUCACUAGGAUCGCGGGCGUGCUGGAGCCUAUCCCAGCAAUCUUCGGGCGAGAGGCGGGGUCCACCCUCAACUGGUCGCCAGUCAAUCGUAGGGCACAUAUAGACAAACAACCAUUUGCACUCAUAUUCACACCUAUGGCCAAUUUAGAGUAUUUAAUUAACCUACCACGCAUGUUUUUUGGGAUGUGGGAGAACAUGCAAACUCCACACAGACGAGGCCGGGAUUUGAACUCCAGUCCGCAGAACUGUGGGGCAGAUGCGCUAACCAGUCGGCCACCAUUCCCAAUCGUUUCUCUUGUAAUUCUGUUUGUAGCCAUUUGCAUCCUGUCUUGCUCCAGGAAUAGUUAAAGAAAUGCUUCUUGUUUUUUGAUCGCUGUUCCGACAGGUUUUGGUGACGUCCUGGCGACCCUCCUUGCUCCCUCUUCAAGUCAUCUUAAGCCACGUUUUUCAGUUUUGCCUUUUGUUUUUGCCUUGUAACAUAGUUUUUCACUUGGUCUUUUCCUACCCGUUUGGUAGUCUUUUGUUCCCCAGUUUUUGCUCUUUUUUUCGUCAAAGGUUUUUUUUUAAAUAAAGCCUGCUA